rnacentral:rRNA from 1 species
UGGGGAAUAUUGGACAAUGGGCGCAAGCCUGAUCCAGCCAUGCCGCGUGAGUGAUGAAGGCCCUAGGGUUGUAAAGCUCUUUCACCGGUGAAGAUAAUGACGGUAACCGGAGAAGAAGCCCCGCCUAACUUCGUGCCAGCACCCGCGGUAAUACGAAGGGGGCUAGCGUUGUUCGGAUUUACUGGGCGUAAAGCGCACGUAGGCGGACUAUUAAGUCAGGGGUGAAAUCCCGGGGCUCAACCCCGGAACUGCCUUUGAUACUGGUAGUCUUGAGUUCGAGGGAGGUGAGUGGCAUUCCGCGUGUAGAGGUGCAAUUCGUAGAUAUUCGGAAGCCCACCAGUGGCGAAGGCGGCUCACUGGCUCGAUACUGACGCUGAGGUGCGAAAGCGUGGGGAGCAAACAGG